rnacentral:rRNA from 1 species
GAUGAACGCUAGCGGCAGGCUUAACACAUGCAAGUCGAGGGGUAUAGUUCUUCGGAAUUAGAGACCGGCGCACGGGUGCGUAACGCGUAUGCAAUCUACCUUUCACAGAGGGAUAGCCCAGAGAAAUUUGGAUUAAUACCUCAUAGUAUAGCAGUUUCGCAUGAAACCACUAUUAAAGUCACAACGGUGAAAGAUGAGCAUGCGUCCCAUUAGCUAGUUGGUAAGGUAACGGCUUACCAAGGCUACGAUGGGUAGGGGUCCUGAGAGGGAGAUCCCCCACACUGGUACUGAGACACGGACCAGACUCCUACGGGAGGCAGCAGUGAGGAAUAUUGGACAAUGGGCGCAAGCCUGAUCCAGCCAUGCCGCGUGCAGGAAGAAGCAUCUAUGGUGUGUAAACUGCUUUUGUACGGGAAGAAACACUCCUACGUGUAGGAGCUUGACGGUACCGUAAGAAUAAGGAUCGGCUAACUCCGUGCCAGCAGCC